UACGUAGGGGGCAAGCGUUGUCCGGAUUUAUUGGGCGUAAAGAGCGUGUAGGCGGCUUUGCAAGUCCGUUGUGAAAACCCGAGGCUCAACCUCGGGCCUGCGGUGGGUACGGGCAGACUAGAGUCCGGUAGGGGAGUGUGGAAUUCCCGGUGUAGCGGUGAAAUGCGCAGAUAUCGGGAGGAACACCAGUAGCGAAGGCGGCACUCUGGGCCGGUACUGACGCUGAGGAGCGAAAGCGUGGGGAGCGAACAGG
rnacentral:rRNA from 1 species